rfam:Oryza nivara chromosome 3, whole genome shotgun sequence.
AAAAAAACAAAUCCUAGGUUUCCGUGUCCAACAUUUGAUCAUCCGUCUUAUUUAAAAAAAUUAUAAAAAAAAUUGAAAAAACAAGUCACGCAUAAAGUAUUAAUCAUGUUUUAUCAUCUAACAACAAUUAAAAUACUAAUUAUAAAAAAAUUCAUAUAAGACGGAUGGUCAAAUAUUGGAAAAAAAACCCAGGGUUUAUUUUUUU